GUGGGAGUGGGAGCUGCAGCCACGGCUGUUCCCCGGGCUCUGGGAACAGCCGCCACAGCCGGUGCUCAGGGCCGAGCCAGCCGGGAGCCUGCAGCACAGCGGCUCCGUGCAGUGCCUGCCACAGCCCUGGCCCCUUGAGGGGAGCUGCGGGAUGGCUCUGGAAGAAACCAGGGUGUGCAGAAGCAGCUGCAGAGAAGAUGCAGCAGGACUCAGGGCUACUUGAAAGAGCAUCAGAUGGGCUAUCGUGUUCACAUAUCUAUGAAGCCAGUCAGGUCAUCAAGAUCAACAUCUUCCUUCAGCAAAGUCCAUGUAAAGUGACAUUCGAGCUGCAGCAGGAUAGACUGUAGGGAAUUCUUGGAAAUAUUACUAAAGGAAAAAACAGAAGAAUAUGUUUAAGCAUCUGUGAGAAGAGCAGUUUCAUGAAUAGUUAUACAAAGAAGGACAAUUAA